GUGCAUCUAUUGACAAACCCAAGCAGUUACUGUCUGUUUCUAAGGUUUCCAUUACUGAUUCAUGAAAGAAGUUUCCUCAGGCUUUCUGUCUGUCUGAUUGUGGCAGCCAAAACUGAAUAGAGAACACAAGA
ensembl:snoRNA